rnacentral:tRNA from 1 species
GUCCUCGUAGCUCAGCUGAUAGGGCGUGCACUGUAAAAAAGCGUAGACGGUGUCCAUGCGUGGGUUCGAAUCCCACCGAGGCUA